rnacentral:rRNA from 1 species
UACGAAGGGUGCAAGCGUUAAUCGGAAUUACUGGGCGUAAAGCGCGCGUAGGUGGUUCAGCAAGUUGGAUGUGAAAGCCCUGGGCUCAACCUGGGAACUGCAUCCAAAACUACUGAGCUAGAGUACGGUAGAGGGUAGUGGAAUUUCCUGUGUAGCGGUGAAAUGCGUAGAUAUUGGGAGGAACACCAGUGGCGAAGGCGGCUCACUGGACCGGUUCUGACGCUGAGGCGCGAAAGCGUGGGGAGCAAACGGG